rnacentral:lncRNA from 1 species
AUCCCCGGAGCGGUUCACGGAUGCGGCCUUGAGAGAGCAACGUGUUGUCGAGACCGUCUGCCUGGUUACCUCUUCAGGCAUUUUCAGUCAGCCUGGUCCAAGACUCCAUGCAGGAAUUGACAAAGCAGCCUAGAUAGCCCAGCUUCCUUGGCUGAAAGACUUAUAAUCAGCCAAAAGGAUCAGCCUCGGCAAGACUCUUCCUCAUGCAGCAUCCACUAAGGGACCCUGCUUCGCUAACAGAUCAUUCCUGGGAGAUGAUUCCUCCUUCUUCCUCGUUUCUUCUGGGUCCAGGGUGCAGAGGUACCGUGUGAGGACAGGCAGGCAGGUAGCAGAAGGACAAUGCAGAAGGGCAAGAAACUCAGAAAUGAAAACAAACACAGUAAACUACACACUUAAGGACAGAAGGAGAAAAUUCUUCACCUGUUGGCUCAUUUUAGCAAAAAUCAACUCCUUUGAUUCAAGAAUGUUUGGUUUGUACCACUGCCCUUGAAAUUCUAGUGCCUGUCUCGUGAGAUUUACUUCUACAGCUCUUUACUAACUUGCUUUAUUACUUUGAACCAGAAAGUUAGAGAAGAGAAACUAAACUACAUAGGAGAAGUGAAUUAGAAGGCCUAGCAACAUUAAUUGUGCAAACAGUAUCCGCCACCUGCCUGAGCGUUUGCCUAGCACUUUCACAGAAGUGACUGCUUCUUAUGAACACCCUUUUUUCCUAGAGGAGGUAAUUUAUUAGAAAAGGAUUCUGAUUUUCG